AUUCCAGCUCCAAUAGCGUAUAUUAAAGUUGUUGCAGUUAAAAAGCUCGUAGUUGGAUUUCUGAUAGGGAGCCGAUCACCACUGUUGUGAGUGUUAGGUACCUGUCAUCCUUCUGUUAACCCCUGCGGCAUUCAUUUGUCGUUGGGCGGACCAGAUACUUUACCUUGAGAAAAUUAGAGUGUUUCAGGCAGGCCUAGCCGGAAUACAUUAGCAUGGAAUAAUGGAAUAGGACUAUAGUCUCGUCGUUGGUUACGUGGACUGCAGUAAUGAUUAAUAGGGAUAGUUGGGGGCAUUAGUAUUUAUUAGCUAGAGGUGGAAUUCUCUAAUUUGAUAAAGACUAACUUAUGCGAAAGCAUUUGCCAAGGAUGUUUUCAUCA
rnacentral:rRNA from 1 species